GACGAACGCUGGCGGCGUGCCUAAUACAUGCAAGUUGAGCGCUGAAGGUUGGUACUUGUACCGACUGGAUGAGCAGCGAACGGGUGAGUAACGCGUGGGGAAUCUGCCUUUGAGCGGGGGACAACAUUUGGAAACGAAUGCUAAUACCGCAUAAAAACUUUAAACACAAGUUUUAAGUUUGAAAGAUGCAAUUGCAUCACUCAAAGAUGAUCCCGCGUUGUAUUAGCUAGUUGGUGAGGUAAAGGCUCACCAAGGCGAUGAUACAUAGCCGACCGGAGAGGAUGAUCGGCCACAUUGGGACUGAGACACGGCCCAAAUUCCUACGGGAGGCAGCAGUAGGGAAUCUUCGGCAAUGGACGAAAGUCUGACCGAGCAACGCCGCGUGAGUGAAGAAGGUUUUCGGAUCGUAAAACUCUGUUGGUAGAGAAGAACGUUGGUGAGAGUGGAAAGCUAAUCAAGUGACGGUAACUACCCAGAAAGGGACGGCUAACUACGUGCCAGCAGCCGCCGUAA
rnacentral:rRNA from 1 species